UACGGGGGGGGCAAGCGUUGUUCGGAAUUACUGGGCGUAAAGGGCUCGUAGGCGGCCAACUAAGUCGGAUGUGAAAUCCCCAGGCUUAACCUGGGAACUGCAUCCGAUACUGGAUGGCUUGAAUCCGGGAGAGGGAUGCAGAAUUCCAGGUGUAGCGGUGAAAUGCGUAGAUAUCUGGAGGAACACCGGUGGCGAAGGCGGCAUUCUGGACCGAUAUUGACGCUGAGGAGCGAAAGCCAGGGGAGCAAAGCGGG
rnacentral:rRNA from 1 species